rnacentral:rRNA from 1 species
CCCUUAGAUGUCCUGGGCCGCACGCGCGCUACACUGACAUGUUCAACAAGCCUCCUAGUUCGACAGGAUUUGGGAAAUCUUUGAACGCAUGUCGUGAUAGGGAUAGAUCAUUGCAAUUAUUGAUCUUGAACGAGGAAUUCCUAGUAAACGCGAGUCAUCAGCUUGCAUUGAUUACGUCCCUGCCCUUUGUACACACCGCCCGUCGCACCUACCGAUUGGAUGGUCCGGUGAAGCCUCGGGAUUGUGGUUCUUGCCGCUUUAUUGUGGCGUGACCGCGAGAACUUGUCUAAACCUUAUCAUCUAGAGGAAGGUGAAGUCGUAACA